GACGAACGCUGGCGGCGUGCUUCACACAUGCACGUCGAACGGAGUGGCGAACGGGUGAGUAACACGUGGGUGAUCUGCCUUGCUCUUCGGGAUAAGCUUGGGAAACUGGGACUAAUACCGGAUAGUGCAAGAGGAGCUAGCGGCCUAUCAGCUUGUUGGUGGGGUAAUGGCCUACCAAGGCGUCGACGGGUAGCCGGCCUGAGAGGUUGUACGGUCACAUGGGGACUGAGAUACUGCCGAGAGUCCUACGGGAGGCAGCAGUGGGGAAUAUUGCACAAUGGGCGGAAGCCUGAUGCAGCGACGCGGCGUGGGGGAUGAAGGCCUUCGGGUUGUAAACUCCUUUCGUCAGGGACGCGGUACCUGUAUAAGAAGCACCGGCUAACUACGUGCCAGCAGCCGCGGUAAUUC
rnacentral:rRNA from 1 species